rnacentral:rRNA from 1 species
UAGUUAUGUUCUUGAAAUUCAAAGGAUUUGGCGGUAUUAUAGUCUAUUCAGAGGAACCUGUCCUGUAAUUGAUGAUCCACGAUUAAUUUAACUUGUUUAAGAGGUUUGUAUAUCGUCGUAGGUGGAAUGUUUUAUGAGAAAACGGAAUGUUCAUGAUUUGAACAAAUCAAAGUAAAUCAGAUCAAGAUACAGCGUAUAGACAAGGAGAGAUGGGUUACAAUAAAUUUAUUUUUAUGGAUAAAUAAGUUAACACUAUUUUGAAAUUGGAUUUGAUAGUAAUAAGAUUAAGUUAAAUCUUAUGAUUUAAGCUCUAUAAUAUGUACAUAUCGCCCGUCGCUCCCACUCCAAAGUGGGAUAAGUCGUAACAAAGUAGGUGUACUGGAAAGUGUACCUAGAACGACAAGUUAGAGCUUGUUACAAAGCAUUUUAUUUACAUUAAAAAGUUAGUUGUGGAACUCAAUUUAGCUUGAAGUUAAAAACUUACAUUUAUGACUUUUUAUAAAGUAUUAUUUUUAUAAGUAUCUUUUUUGAAAAUGGGCUUUGUGUUAUAGUAGAUUAGUACAGUGAUGGGGCGUUGCAUACAAAUUUAAAUUGUUGGUAAGAAAAUUUAACUUAUUGUACCUUGUGUAUCAGGGUUUACUAAAAUAUCCUUUUUAUAAGGGUUUCUCGAAUUGGAAAGAGCUAGUAUUAUAUAUAUUUAAUUGUGGCAUAAAUUCUUAUAAUAUAAUACUUGCAGUGAAACGUUAUACGUUUUUUAAGAUAUCUAGUUUCUUAAGAAAUAAAUUUAAUUUAGUCUGUUGGUUUAGUGAUGUUAAUUAAAUAGCUAUACUAAUCAUCAGGGAAAUAUUACAUGGGAUAAGCUUUGUAAUAGAAUACUAAAGUUAAUCUACAAAAAGAAAGUAAGUAGGAUUGGAAUUGUCUAUCUAUAGGAUGUUAUAAUGAACUUUCUGUUUAAUAAGAUUUAUAUUGGACUUAGUUUAUUUAUUAAGAUGACACAUGUAAUUGUGUAUUGUGUGUAAUUAUGGUAGAAUUAGUAUAUUUUAUUGUAUCUUUAAGUAUAGUUGUUAGGUUAAUCUAAGGAACUCGGCAAAUUAAUUUUCCGCCUGUUUACUAAAAACAUGUCUUUUUGAGUAUAAUUUAAAGUCUAACCUGCCCAAUGAGGAGUUGAAUGGCCGCGGUAAUUUGACCGUGCAAAGGUAGCAUAAUCAUUAGUUUCUUAAUUGGAAGCUGGAAUGAACGGUUGGACGAGAAAAUGACUGUCUCAGUUUAAUUAUUAUUAGAACUUUAUUUUUGAGUAAGAAAGCUCAAAUAUUUUUAAAAGACGAGAAGACCCUAUAGAAUUUUAUAUUCCUGUGUUUAAUAAGUGUUUUGGAAUUUGCUGAGUUUUAUACACAGUAAUAUUUUGCUGGGGCGGCAGAAAAAUUGAUUGAACUUUUUUUUUAUAGCUCAAACAUAGAUUUAUGAU